GCUUUCGUGGUGUAGUUGGUUAUCACGUCAGUCUAACACACUGUAGGUCUCCGGUUCAAGUCCGGGCGAAAACA
rfam:Zea mays cultivar B73 chromosome 2, whole genome shotgun sequence.